rnacentral:rRNA from 1 species
UACGAAGGGUGCAAGCGUUACUCGGAAUUACUGGGCGUAAAGCGUGCGUAGGUGGUUGUUUAAGUCUGUCGUGAAAGCCCUGGGCUCAACCUGGGAAUUGCAGUGGAUACUGGGCGACUAGAGUGUGGUAGAGGGUAGUGGAAUUCCCGGUGUAGCAGUGAAAUGCGUAGAGAUCGGGAGGAACAUCCAUGGCGAAGGCAGCUACCUGGACCAACACUGACACUGAGGCACGAAAGCGUGGGGAGCAAACAGG